rnacentral:lncRNA from 1 species
UUUUUUUUUUUAAGAUUUUAUUUAUUUGUGAGAGACACACACACAGAGAGACAGAGAGACAGAGAGAGAGAGAGAGGCAGAGACACAGGCAGAGGGAGAAGCAGGCUCCAUGCUGGGAGCCUGACAUGGGACUCGAUCCUGGGUCUCUAGGAUCAAUCACAUCCUGGGCUGAAGGAGGAACUAAACCGCUGAGCCACACAGGUUGCCCCCUGCUCCACUGUAUUUUCAUACAUGUGGUCUUUCUCUUUCUCUCAUUCCCAUCCAGUAAAGCUGCAGAUUUAUUGCUUUUCCUGUUUCAUAAAGAUGAGGAACCUGAGAGCAUAGAGGUUCCAUGAUUUGCUCAAAGUCACAUAGGCAGUCUGAGGCACACAGCUAUGCACUUAUAAUUAGGUGGUCUGCUUGUUUUUGCUGUGUCAUAUCAUUUUAGAUAGAAUCCAGCCUUCUCUAGACCUCUCUGAAUAAUCCUCAAGGCCCAGGCCCAUCUCUGUCAUUCCUUUUCCCCUUUCUGUGUUCCUUCUCCUGCCAGCUGCCUCCUUGAGACACACUCCAGCAACUCAGAUGCUUUAUCUAGCAGGUGCUCAAUGGCUCUUCUGGGGGAAAAUGGCCACAUGACCUUCAUGCCAGGAGCACUUGCUUCACCAUUCACGAUUCCAGGAGGCCCUCGGGGCUGACCUCGCUUCUCCAAGGGUUGGCCCUGAGGUGGGAUAAAUUCUGGGGACCAGUACAGCUGAUACUGUCACAUACUGGACACAGAGGAGCUGCAGGCGCCCACCUGGUAACUGGCCAUGCCCUGGAUCAGCCCCACUGCAAAUAAGCCAGUGGAAAUAUGCCAGCUCCGGACACUAUAACUCUAGGCACCAUUCUCCAAGGGCCUCCCAAGUUAUUCCACGGUGUGGGGAAAGGUGUGGUUGUCAUAAUUCUUUUUAAGCUGAGAGACCUUCUUGGCACAGUGUUUUAGCUCCUGGCUUUGAGAAAGGGAGGACGGCAGGCUGGCCGAGGGUCCGCUCUCUCAUCCCCAAAACUGAGCAAGUUCUGAGUCGGUGACAAGGUAUUUAAGAGAUAAAGAGACCUUUCUGGUAGGGAGACUGAAGACUGUGAGCCAAAGGCUCUCUAGAAAUAAACACAAUAUGACAGAGCCUGAAGCCAGCUAACCAGCCCUUUCAGUACCCUAGGCUCAGUCCAUGUUCUGAGUGUGAUCAUCAGAAUGUAAUGUGGUGGACGUUAUUAUCUUAGUUCACCACAGAAAAGCCUGUGCUGAAAAAGAUUUAAUGUUAUGCCCUUAGCCUUUAUAGAGGGUCGAUAGGAGAAACAUUUGAGGAGCAUUUACCUGCUGUUAUAGAACUGCAGGGAAAGACUGUGGCCAUUAUGCUCCCUGGUGUCCCUACACAGCCCCGACACAAUAAAUUCUCUUUCUACCCAUUGCUGGGGAAGAUCCAGCUUCCUGCUUGCAUUCCUUCUCUGUUCAGACAUCUCUGACUGGACAACCAAACAUACAUCCUUGUCUUUCUUCUUUUCGUCUUAGUUUUUAUUAAGCCUGGCCCCAAAUCCCAUGCUCAGUUGAAAUACUGAGCCAGUCCCUGUCGCUCCAACAUAUGUUUCUCCCCACUUUCUUCUUAUCUACUUCUUUUAAUUAUGAUUUUGCAUACGACUAGUUCUGUAGGAUGCUCAGAUCUUGCUCCCAUUUAACAAAAGAAGACACAACCGAUGAUUAAUAGGCAGAGAGAGAUGAAAGAGAGGUAGGUAGGUAAGUAGAGCAAGCCAGAUUUGGAUGAAUGAUGAGAGGGGACGGGUGUGUGAAUAGACUAACCUGAGUUUCAUCAUUUCAUCCACACAGUUAGCCCAAAAGGGAAUCAGGAGUCCACAGCCAGCCCAAGAUUAUUAGCCCAAGAUUUCCAUUCAUUCCUAACAAAAAUAUGUUCACUAUCUAUAAUCUGAACACAGAUUUCUCUAGGACACAAUUCAUGUUUUAUUCAUAUUUAUAUUGAACACAAUGCUGCCAUAUAGUAGGUGCUCACAAAAUGUUUGAGGCAGCGUUAAUUUAAUUAAACUAGAAAUUUACUCUACCAGGUGCAAUACACAAUGCCUAAAGCCCACCACAUCCUUGAGGAGAUACAAUUCACAAACCUGUAUAGAUCACAAUGGCCAUAUAAUCAAUACAUCUUUCCUAGACUCUCCAGGCUGAUCAUGUCAGAUCUUGUACACUCCUCCCACAGUCCAUUCUCUUGCUGUUUUCCCAUCUACAGUGCCCACCUCCUCCCAUCAGGUUAACCAGCCCCUGUCUACCUUUGAGACUUAAAUCAGGUCUUACCACCAUAAAACUUGUUUCCAAUUCCAGCCAGCCCACAUGGAUUCCCCCUUCCCUGAUCAUCCACUGCACAGGAGGCUUCUUAGGCACCUCCAACAGCCUGUGACUCGCCCACCCAAACAGCCCACGGGCAACUCAAUCUCCACCUGUCCAAAGCGGAACCCACCUCCCACCAACUGCCAUGUAAUCUGAGAGGUUGAGUGCGCAUGCGGGUCCUGCAGUAAAACUACCCAAAAUCAGAUCCUGGCGGCAUUAUUUUGUCAAGGUUCAACCAGAGAAGCAGAACCACUAGAAGAUAUUUCUCUAUAUACAUGUAUAAACCUGUAGGAUAUGCAUGUGUGUAUAGGUAUCCAAACACACACAUGUAUAGGCACACCAUAGAUGCUUAUGUGACCCUAAAUCCUUACAUAAAGGAUUUUUUUUUUUUACAGAGAAAUUGCCCUGCACAAUUGUGGGAGCUUUCUCUCUUAGAUGUGUCUUUGCAUCUGGUAUUGGAGCUUGACAUCUGUAGGGCAGGCAGUUGAGAAGGGAAUAUGGAGAGGAAGAAUAAGGUGGAACCCACAACUAUAUGCCAGAGUCUACAGGAUGGACUCAAACCUAUGUCAGCUCUACUUUUCCUCUGACCUGAGUGAGUGAGUGUCUUGCAGAACCCAGAGUCCUUUAUGACAACCUAAAUGCACACCUGGCUGAGGAGUUAGGAAAGCUAAAGGAGUCAGGAGAUGGUGAAGUGGAUGCAGGCUUCACAGCAACGAGGAGACAGCAGGUCAGGGAUAAUGUGUGUGAGCUAAAGGGCUGCUGCUUCCUUUCCACCCAUAAAUCUCCCACAAGAUUCUGUCUUGCAGCUCCCACCUUAACUCGUAUACAAGAACAAGAACUUUGAGGAUUCCCUUAACCCAGGCAAGUUCGCACAUUUCAAAGCCACCACAACCAUAUGUAAUCUUUGUGGUCUUAAACAAGUGGCUUAACUUGCAGAGCCUUGGUUUUCUCAUCUGUAAAAUGGCAAUAAUAUAAAGCAUUCUCAUGAAAAUGAAGUAUAAUUUUACCUACUGAUUUCUUAGCAUGCUGCCUGACACAGAGUCAGUGCUCCAUAGAUGUUCUCUAUUAAUAUGGCCUCUCCUGUUUUUUUCUAGCUCAGACAGUGGCUUUAAAAUCUAUCCCUUCACCAAGCAAGGCUUGACUCCCGGUAUGGCCACAUUAACUGAGACAUCAUGAAAAGAUUCUGCUUUUGCCAGGUGGCAUCUAGGGAGGCAGAUCUAUUUCCCAAGGGCCUGAGUGGUCCUCAGUGAGCUGGAGUCUUGAAAGCUGCACAUUCACUUUCCUUUCCAUCCAUGGCCAGUACCACAUACUCAACUGUCCUCCACCUGACAGCAGCAUCUCUACCUUCACACUAGCCACCAGACCACAGACUCAGGUGGGGGCCUCCAUGGGCUCCGGGACAAUGAUGAGGAUGAGGCUUCUGUCCAGGGCACACAGUGCUGGUUCUGGCUGGGGCAGGCAGCCCAGGAGGCCUCAGCUGGGAGCAGACAACCUGCAUCUGGGUCCUGGGACUGGAGCAUCGAGACCUGAAGCAUUCUCUUCCCAUUGGGGAAAAGGCAGCUCUUCAGAGCAGAGAAAGAAGCCUAAAUUACCAUGAAACCCUAGAGCCUGUGUAAGAUAUGGAAGCUCUGGUUUUUCCCCAAAGCUCUGGUGACCUAGGAAGUCCCAAGCUCCUUCCAGGAUGGGGGGAACAGGCUUGCCUGUGGCUG